rnacentral:snoRNA from 1 species
GGCUGUGAUGAUUGCUAUCUUAUUUCUGACACCUCUUGUAUGAGAAGUGUUUCUUCUUCAUCAUCGGAAUGAGGAACACUUCGCUGAGCAGAUUGUAGCAAAUGUAUCUGAGCA